rnacentral:rRNA from 1 species
GUCUGUUUGAUAAUAUUUACAGUCUGGCCUGCCCACUGAAUUUUUAAAGGCCGCGGUAUAAUGACCGUGCGAAGGUAGCAUAAUAAUUAGUCUUUUAAUUGAAGACUGGAAUGAACGGUCGGACAAAAAGUAACCUGUCUCGGAUUUAUAAAUUGAAAUUAACUUUUAAGUGAAAAGGCUUAAAUAAUCUUAAAAGACGACAAGACCCUAUAAAACUUUAUUUAGUUAAGUUUUAUUUUUAAUUUAUAAGUAUAAAAAGAAUAAUACUUAACUAUAUUUCGUUGGGGCGACGAAAGCAUAUAUUUAACUGCUUUAUUUUCAAAACAAUUAUAUUUGGCUAUUAUGACCCUUUUUUAAGAUCUAAAGAAAAAGUUACUUUAGGGAUAACAGCGUUAUUUUUUUUGAGAGUUCAUAUCGACAAAAAAGUUUGCGACCUCGAUGUUGAAUUAAAGUCCCACUAUAGUGCAGUAAUUAUAUAGGUAGGUCUGUUCGACCUUUAAAACUUUACAUGAUUUGAGUUCAAACCGGGUAAG